rnacentral:rRNA from 1 species
GUAGGUGGCAAGCGUUGUCCGGAAUUAUUGGGAGUAAAGCGCGCGCAGGCGGUCCUUUAAGUCUGAUGUGAAAGCCCACGGGCUCAACCGUGGAGGGUCAUUGGAAACUGGGGGACUUGAGUACAGAAGAGGAAAGCGGAAUUCCAAGUGUAGCAGUGAAAUGCGUAGAGAUUUGGAGGAACACCAGUGGCGAAGGCGGCUUUCUGGUCUGUAACUGACGCUGAGGCGCGAAAGCGUGGGGAGCAAACAGGAUUAGAUACCCUGGUAGUCCACGCCGUAAACGAUGAGUGCUAAGUGUUAGGGGGUUUCCGCCCCUUAGUGCUGCAGCUAACGCAUUAGGCACUCCGCCUGGGGAGUACGGCCGCAAAGGCUG